GACGAACGCUGGCGGCGUGCCUAAUACAUGCAAGUUGAGCGCUGAAGGUUGGUCCUUGUACCAACUGGAUGAGCAGCGAACGGGUGAGUAACGCGUGGGGAAUCUGCCUUUGAGCGGGGGACAACAUUUGGAAACGAAUGCUAAUACCGCAUAAAAACUUUAAACACAAGUUUUAAGUUUGAAAGAUGCAAUUGCAUCACUCAAAGAUGAUCCCGCGUUGUAUUAGCUAGUUGGUGAGGUAAAGGCUCACCAAGGCGAUGAUACAUAGCCGACCUGAGAGGGUGAUCGGCCACAUUGGGACUGAGACACGGCCCAAACUCCUACGGGAGGCAGCAGUAGGGAAUCUUCGGAAAGGGACGAAAGUCUGACCGAGCAACGCCGCGUGAGUGAAGAAGGUUGUCGGAUCGUAAAACUCUGUUGGUAGAGAAGAACGUUGGUGAGAGUGGAAAGCUCAUCAAGUGACGGUAACUACCCAGAAAGGGACGGCUAACUACGUG
rnacentral:rRNA from 1 species